rnacentral:rRNA from 1 species
UACAGAGGGUGCGAGCGUUAAUCGGAAUUACUGGGCGUAAAGCGUGCGUAGACGGUUACGUAAGUCGGGUGUGAAAGCCCCGGGCUCAACCUGGGAAUUGCAUUCGAGACUGCGUAGCUAGGGUGCGGAAGAGGGAAGCGGAAUUUCCGGUGUAGCGGUGAAAUGCGUAGAUAUCGGAAGGAACAUCAGUGGCGAAAGCGGCUUCCUGGUCCAGCACCGACGUUCAGGCACGAAAGCAUGGGGAGCAAACAGG